GCCGCUGGGCCCCCGGACACGCGGUUCCUGCACAGACACUCUUCCGCGCCGCCGAAGGCGGCGGCGGUAGCUGCCGUUUACCAGCAGGAAAGGAUGAGAGGCCGGCAGGGGAGGAGGAAGGCGGCACCCGCGCCGCGUUACCUGAUCAGAGCGGCGACCCUCAUGCUGGGCGCAGUACGCGUUAGCAAAGAUUUCAAAGAAGAAAAGCUGGUGAAGUUACCAAUGUUGGCAAGAAUACGGGGAAAGGAACAAUCUCAUGCUUGGUUGCUGGAGAAUUUUGUUAUCUGUAAAAUGUGAUUAAAAUAUGAUCUACCACACCUAGUUGUUGUAAGAAUUAAAUUAAAUAGACCAUCAUAAUUACAUAGUCUGUUGUUAUUUUACAUAAAGAGAGAUCUGGAAAAAAAUCAUCAACGUGUUGGUGGUGGCAGUCUUUGAGUGGUAAAAUUGAAUUGAAUUUUUGAUUCCAUAUAUAUACCUUUCUGUAUUGUUUUGGUUUUCUAAAAUUAAUGCAAAUGUUUGUAAAUAAAGUCAAUGAUAGUUGGAAGAAGAGAUGAUUGGUAGAAUGGAAGGAGGGAAGGAAGAGAGAUGGGAUACCUCACUGCUUCAGGGUUGGUCUCACAGGGAGCCAAUUCUCUGAUGAAGUUACAGAAAAGUAUGAAGAGUAGAUCCAUAGAUCUUCAGCUCCAUAGAUUUUAGAAAUCAACUUUACUAUUUAUCCAAUGUAGACCAGAUGGUAGGGAACUGAUGGAAGCUAUGUAGUUUCAUGGAGGACUCAUUAAUAAACCAGAAUGUAUAUGAGUCAGCUGAUUCUUUUGCCACUAGGAAAACACAAAUUAGAAAUAUUCUUUCAUCAAAACAUUGCUUGAUAAAUUAAAACCACAAUGAGUUACCACUACAUACCCACUAGAAUACCUGAAGUUAUAAAGACUAACAUUACUAAGUGUUGGCAAGGAUAUGGAUAAACCAAAACUUUAAUACACUGUUAGUAAGAAUACAAAAAUGGUACAGCCUCCUUGUAAAACAGUUUGUCAGUACCAUAUAAAGUUAAGCAUAAUUUACCUUAUGACCCAGCAAUUCCAGUCCUAGGUAUUUACCCCAGAGAAAUAAACACAUGUGUCUAUGCAAAAAAAAAAAAAACAACAAAAAACAAAAAAAACAAUGUGAAUGUUCGUAGCAUUAUUUAUAAUAAGAAAAUGAAAGCAACCCAAUCUCCAUCAAGUGGUAAGUGGAUAAACAAAUUAUACCAUGGAAUAGCGCUCAGCAAUACACACAACAUGAACGGAUUUCAAAAACAAGCUACAGUGCAUUAAGUAUGAUUUCCUUGAUAUGAAAUUCUAGAAAAGGCAAAGCUACCAGUGACAGAAAGGGAAUCAGUGUUGCCUGGUGUCAGUGGUGAGGAGAGGUCAUUAAGGGCAAAAGGCCUUGAGGAGACAUUUUAGUGUGAAAGUGCUGUUCUACAUAUUGCUAGUAACAGUAGUUAUGCGAUUACCAAAAUUCAUCAAACUAUACAGUUAAAAUUGGUUAAAAUUUUUAUAUGUAAUUAAUACCUUAAAUUAUUGGUAAGUUACUGGUAAGGAUAGAGUUCAUUUUUAUUAUCUGAUAAAUUAUAUCCCAUUAAUUCACUUUCUCAAAAUGCGUAUCUGUAUAUGAAUAAGUAUAUGUACUGUAGGAAUUAAACUUUGAAGGAGACUAGAAUGUCUACAUCCGUUGGUGGAGACAUCCUUUUCUUACAUUCUUUUCCCCCAAUAAUGGGAGUUCUGGAAUUCUAUAUCAAAGAUGUUUUAGGAGUGGCUAUGUAGUUAAAAGUGUGUUUGUAUAGUAAGCAUACUCUUAUUUAAGUUGUGAGUUUAUUUGAGGCUAGUGUUAGAUAUUAUAGAGGAGCUAAAGCCUCCUAAAUCAUCUUUAGUGACACUUACAUUUUUGAGUAUUGUAUUGAUGUCAGGCACUAGUCAGUUAUAAAUAUAUGAAAGAAAAUUUGCAUUGCACAUUAAUAUUAUCAACAGCAUACUUUAAAACUUUGCCUGAAGGGUAAGACUUUAUUUCUGCAGAUAGUAAAUUUCUUCACUAUUCUGUUUUUCUUCUCAUUGAUGAGUUUUACUGGAUUCAAUUUCAUAGAGAAGGAUAACAGUAAUGUAUAUGUUGAUUUUAUUGCCAAAUUCUGACAAUUAUUUACAUUUAGACCCUUUAUCCCUUUCAAGUCUUCAUGUGUAUAUUCAACCAUUUUAAAUGUAGUACCAACUCAGUGUUUAUCCUGUGUCCUUUUUAUGGACUUCUGACCAUAUCAAAGAUUAAAAAGGUAUUCCAAUAUUUUCCUAAAAAUAUGUUUUGGAGUCAGCUUACCUGAAUUUGAAUUUUGGUUCUGAGAUAUUGGUUUGUAAUUUCAGCAAGAUGUUUUUCCUUGAUCUAUAAAAGAGGCAUAUCUAUGCUUACCUUAUGAAAUUAAGAUUAAAUAUAUAUAAAUGCACUAGUCAUGGGGCGCCUGGGUGGGUCAGUUGAU